GGGGGGAGCAAGCGUUGUUCGGAUUUACUGGGCGUAAAGGGCGCGUAGGCGGCCACUGCAAGUCGGUUGUGAAAUCUCCGGGCUUAACCCGGAAAGGUCAAUCGAUACUGCAGGGCUAGAGUGCAGAAGGGGCAACUGGAAUUCUCGGUGUAGCGGUGAAAUGCGUAGAUAUCGAGAGGAACACCUGCGGCGAAGGCGGGUUGCUGGGCUGACACUGACGCUGAAGCGCGAAAGCUAGGGGAGCGAACG
rnacentral:rRNA from 1 species